rnacentral:tRNA from 1 species
UAAAAUGUAGUUUAAUAGGUAGAACUGUUGUUUUUGGAACAAUUCAUAAAGGUUCAAAUCCUUUCAUUUUAA